GAGAUUUCUGCCUGUCUCGUGGGCUCGGAGAUGUGUAUAAGAGACAGGUAGUGUGAGCGAACUUAAUAAAGGUUAUUUUUGUUUAAAUCUAAUUUUUAUAAUCAAUUUAACGAAUUUAAGUUUUUGAAACUUAAUCUAAAGAAGGUAAAGAGUCCUGUAGUUAAAUUUUGAAAAUUAGAUUUUAAAGUAAAGCAAAUUGAAGAACUUGUUUGAAUAAAGGAAGACCAUUUUCUAAACCUAAAUAUAACAAUAUACCAAUAGUGAAAAGUACCGUGAGGGAACGAUGAAAAGAACCUUAAAAUUUAUAUGGAGUGAAAUAGAUCUUCAAAUUAAACACAUAAGAGCUAUUGAAGUAACUUUAUGUUAUACCAAUGUACCUUUUGUAUAAUGGGUCGACGAGUUAAUUUAUUUAAUAAAUUUAGAUCUAGUAAGAUUGUGAUGUGUAGCGAAAGCGAGUUUGAAAUAAAGCGUGAAUUAAAUAAAUUAUUACCCGAAACUGGAUGAUCUAAUCAUGUACAGGAGAUUUUUUAAAACUAAUUAAAGUAUAUAAUUUAUUAUAAUUUUAAAAGGUUGGAUGAAAAUAGACCGCACCCGUGUAUGUUGCAAAAUACUGGGAUGAUAUGUGAUUAGGGGUGAAAGGCUAAUCAAAUUCAGAAAUAGCUGGUUUUCUGCGAAAAUUAUUUAAGUAAUGCAUUAAAAUUUUAUAGUAUGGGGUAGAGCACUUGCUGGAUGAGGGGGAAUUCUUGGUAAUUCUACUGAUUCCAAUUAAACUUCGAAUACGUAUUUAUAAAUAAUUUUAAUAGGCAGAUUUUGAGUGCUAAGAUUCAAGAUCAAGAGGGAAAAAGCCCUGAUUUUUAGUUAAGGUUUUUAAAUAUAAUUCAUGGACUAAGUUUAAAUUUGUAAUGAGAACCAAGAGGUAGGCUUAGAAGCAGCCAUCCUUUAAAGAAAGCGUCAUUGCUCAAUGGAAUAGCAUAAUUUAGACAGAAAUGUAUAGAAACUGUAGUUAUAUACCGAAACUAAAAAAUAUUGUAAUAUUGGUAGCAGAACGAUUAAUAUUAAAUUGAAAGAAAAAUUGUUAAAUUUUUUAGCAAAUUUAAUUUGAGAAUGUUGACAUGAGUAACGAAUUAAUAAUGAAAAAAAAAGAAACUAUCAUUAUCAUCGCAAAUUCUAGGUUUUCAAUGUAUAAAGUUUGACUUCGUUGAGUUAUACGGUCUCUAAGUUUAAAAUUGAAAAAUUUUAACGAUGAGUUAUUUGUUAAUAUUCAAAUUUAUUAAUUAAGUGAAAAUAAUAUGUGUAAUAAAUAUUUAUUUUUAUGGUAAAGUAACUAUAAUAACAUAUUAUUCGAGAAAUAUUUAAUUAAAUGUAACCGUACUUAAACCGACACAGGUGAAUUGGUAGAGUAUACUAAGAUGAUUGGAAGAACAAUUUUGAAGGAACUCGGCAAAUUGAUUCCGUAACUUCGGGAGAAGGAAUACUCAUAUUAGAAAUUUAAUGUUAAAAAUAAUUAAAAUAUGAAUGUUUAGUGUAACAGAAUAGGGGUAGCGACUGUUUAAUAAAAACACAGGACUUUGCAAAAUAUUAUUAUGAUGUAUAAGGUCUGACGCCUGCCCAGUGAUGAGUAAUGAAAAAAAGAGGUGUUUAAUUAUGCUUUGAUUAUAAGUCUCAUUAAACGGCGGCUGUAACCCUGACGGUCCUAAGGUAGCGAAAUUCCUUGUCAAUUAAUUGUUGACCCGCAUGAAUGGCGUAACGACUUCCCCACUGUCUCCAAAAUUGAUCCAGUGAAAUUGCAUUUUACGUGAAGAUGCGUAAUAUUUAUAGCGGGACGGAAAGACCCUGUGCACCUUUACUAUAACUUUACAUUGAAAAAAAUAAGCUUAUAUAAAGAAUAGUUCUGAGUCUAUGAUCUAUUAAUUCCGGUUUUUAAGGGAGACGUCAGUGAGAUAUGAAUUAUAAGAAUAUUGAUUUCUAAUUUUUGAGAAAGACAAUGUAUGGUCUGUCUCUUAUACACAUCUGACGCUGCCGACGACUCCUUACGUGUAGAU
rnacentral:rRNA from 1 species